AUUACCCUUUCUAUCUAAAAUUCUUUUUCGAUUUGAAUUCCCCCAUUAGAAUUCCCGUUAGAAAAAAAGCAUCACUCCCAUUAACCGCCUCACUGUCUAGUCUCGAUUUCUCCGGCUGCGACGACGCCUCCGAUUCCGGCUGCUCAUCGUGGCUCCAGGCGCCGCCGACGUCGAAGCAAUCUCCGUUCCCAGCGGCGCGUUACUGAGUGGUAGUGUUGGGGGCGAAGUUGUAGUUUGUGAUAAUGCGUGCAAAUUAAGCAACAAAAAAUGGGUGUAGGUGAUUAGGUGUAGUGUACCUCGAUCCUCUUAUGCUCAUCAGAGAACUUCGUUGUUGAAUAAAGUGAUUGCAAACCUUCAUUGCUUUGUUCCUGAUAUAUGCCAGGAUGAGAAGGAUCUGUCAACAAAUUCAUUCGGUUCAUAUAGAAGGACUAUCAGAAACUGUCAGAUGGAUUCUUUUCUCUACUUUAGAGCUGACAGAGUAUCCACAAUUAGCAAGAACUUAUGGAAUAAGCGUCCUAAAAAUGAGUUUUAAUGCAGAAAAGGAAGGUACGAAGGUCCGUUUGAUGAUAUGCUUGAUACAACAAAUUCUGGGUUACUGAUUGAACAUGAGCACAGAUAAAUAGUGUUGUAAAGAUCACCUUACGUUGGGCAUUGCUUUACGAGCUAUUUCAGUUGCUCAUACUGAACCUGAUGUUGGCCAUAGUUCCAAUACUAAUCACCGACCCGGUCUUAUUCAAUCUUCUGCUCCACAGAUUGAGGCGUUCUUAUUCUGGUCCGGCCGUCAUGAACUUAAAGUUAUCAGGCUCAAACAAUAUUUCCUCAUACAUGGAUGCUAUCUCCCACCUAAUAUCUAAAGCUUUAUCUAUUCUAAAAGUGUAUCCUACCUGGAUGAGGUGGCCAGCAACACAGCAACUCAAGAUAUAGCAAAGUUUGUUGGACUCGAGCAAGCUACCCGAAGGGGCAACUGGAACUUAAUGCAAUGCGCUUGGCAGAUGUCUUCUCAGAUGAUUCAAAUUUUCUGUCAUUCAUCGAUAAACUUUGGAACCCUUAGCUGCAAUCUUUCUAUUCCCUCGUGGAGAGUUUGUAUCUGGCCGGUGCCCGUCUGACCUUCUAGUUUCUGAAGAGGAUGCACCAUUAGACUAUGUAUUAUAUACAUCACCUCGAUAAUUCUUAUUUCGCCAAAUCAGUUAGUUACAACUAUUGCAUUAAACACCCCAAGUCAUCAUCAAUGUAUAUAGACACAUUUUAUUUGAAUUAACCCCUUGCUGUGUACCUCGUUCCUCUUAUGCUCAUCAAAGAAAGUCUUUGUUGAUUAAAGUGAUUGCAAACCUUCAUUUCUUUGUUCGUGAUGUAUGCCACGAUGAGAAGGAUCUGUCAACAAGUUCAUUCGGUUCAUACAAAAGGACUAUCAGAAACUGUCAGAUGGAUUCUUUUCUCUACUUCAGAGCUGACAAAGUAUCCACAAUUAGCCAGAACUUAUGUUUACUUAAGUCAUGCUAUGUCUUUAGUUGCAGGAGUUUUGAAUGAAGAUGAUGUAUAACUGUGGAGGAGCUUGGGAAGGAGUGGACAGAACAACUAGCUUCCUAUAUUGGACGCUCAAACCAAAGGAAAUGCGUGUAUUUGGUGUAUAGUGUGUGGAUCUGUUUAUAGUGUUUGUAAUAUAUGUAUAAUGUGUGUAGUGCA